CCUACGGGGGGCAGCAGUAGGGAAUCUUUCACAAUGGGCGAAAGCCUGAUGGAGCAACGCCGCGUGCAGGAUGAAGGCCUUCGGGUUGUAAACUGCUUUUAUAAGCGAGAAAUAUGAUGGUAACAUAUGAUUAAGGAGCGGCUAACUACGAGCCAGCAGCCGCGGUCAUACGUAGGAUCCGAGCAUUAUUCGGAGUGACUGGGUGUAAAGAGUUGCGUAGGUAGCAUAAUAAGUAGCUAGUGAAAUCUGGUGGCUCAACCAUUCAGACUAUUAGCUAAACUGUUAAGCGCGAGACCGUUAGAGGUAACUGGAAUUUCUAGUGUAGGAGUGAAAUCCGUAGAUAGUAGAAGGAACACCAAUAGCGUAGGCAGGUUACUGGGACGGUUCUGACACUAAGGCACGAAAGCGUAGGGAGCAAACGGGAUUAGAUACCCCAGUAGUC
rnacentral:rRNA from 1 species